rnacentral:rRNA from 1 species
GACGAACGCUGGCGGCGCGCCUAACACAUGCAAGUCGAACGGAGUCAAGAGGAGCUUGCUUUUCUUGACUUAGUGGCGAACGGGUGAGUAACGCGUGAGUAACCUGCCCUGGAGUGGGGGACAACAGUUGGAAACGACUGCUAAUACCGCAUAAGCCCACGGAUCCGCAUGGAUCUGCGGGAAAAGCAUUUAUUCGCUUCAGGCUGGACUCGCGUCCAAUUAGCUAGGUGGUGAGGUAACGGCCCACCAAUGCGACGAUUGGUAGCCGGACUGAGAGGUUGAACGGCCACAUUGGGACUGAGCCACGGCCCAGACUCCUACGGGAGGGAGCAGUGGGGGAUAUUGCACAAUGGGGGCAACCCUGAUGAAGCGACGCCGCGUAGAGGAAGAAGGUUUUCGGAUUGUAAACUCCUGUCGUUAGGGACGAUAAUGACGGUACCUAACAAGAAAGCACCGGCUAACUACGUG